CUGAGCGGAGCGGCUCGCUGCGUCGCCUCACCCCCUGCUGUGACACUCCCACCUGCAGCUCCUCACAUUAACCCAGACUCAGGCCAGUUUCUGUGCAACAGACGAUGGACGUCAAACAGCAGCUUGUGCUCCUGUCUGUCUUAAUGUGGAGUCCAGACUUUAUUCAAAGCAGCGAUGUCACUCAAACCUCCACCGUGUGGAAAUUCAUAGGUGAAGAUGCAACAAUGAACUGCAGCCACACCAAGGGUGAAUUUUACUACCAGAUGUACUGGUACCGACAGCUGCCGGGACAAACCAUGGAGCUCAUAGUGUUCACAACCACGACCAAACCAGAUCACGACUUCGGGAAGUUCAGCAAAGACAAAUUCUCGGCCGCCAAACCUGACGCUAAGAGCGGGACAUUCACGGUGAAGAACCUGGGGCCUGGAGACGGAGGCCUGUACUUCUGUGCUGUGAGUGAGCACAGUGAUGUAGACACACGCUGAAGCUGAACAAAAACCUCAGAGAUGAUUCAUCUCCUGCACUAUGAGGGGGAAGGUGAGAACCAAAAGGACUUUGAGG